GCGGGCGGCCGCGUACUAGUUUCCUUAGGACUUGUGCGUCCGUAGCAAUACCGUGUGCUGUAAACUUCUGAACGAACUGAGAUACUCAUUCAGUUUUGGUCGCCUCUCCAUUAUCUCGUGGUGACGUAAAGGUGACGGCCCGUGUGUUAGUUUCCCCGGUAAUUGUGCCUCCGUAACAUUACUGUGUGCAGUGGUCGUGAGAACUGCGAGGCGGCGGUGCAGGACUGUGCCGUGGAGAGCCGCGGGGUGUUGGAAUCGCCUGUCAGUCACCUUGAAGGCGUCAUAUUCCCUCCCUGCUCUUCCCCGUGUCUUCCUGUCGAUGUUGACUCAAAACAGACCAGCACCACCACCACCACCACCACCACCACCACUACCUAACGCUGUGUCCAGGCUGGAAUGUGUGACCUCUCUGCCAGGAAUGUCACCGUCCUCUCACACUCUGACACCAAGUACCUCACAACAACACCUGCAAUACUACACCUCUGAGCCCCCCCGGAGCCGUUGGCUGCUCCGCACCCCAGUCAGGGAGGAGCCUCGGCCAGGCUGGCCUAUCACGUGGCGGCGGGCUUCCCUGCUCACGCUGUCAGCCAAUGGAGAAGCGAAGAGAGGCAGCUGGAGGAGGAAGAGGAGGAGGAAUACCUUUCCAGCAUGAUCUGUUUGUAAGUGUGGCUACUGCGAGGCGCUGCUGGCCUUCACACUCCAUCCCCUGCGCCCUCCUGUCAUUACAUCGCCUUUCCAGCGAAGGCAUUACUGCGAUGGUUAUGCGGCUUUUGAGGGGAGUAGCAGCCGCCCAUCGCUGGGAAGGACGCGCCUCACCCUGGCGGCCCUGCUCGGUCCCUUCCACGACUCGCAGCGAGAGAGAGAGGUCGAGGUGCGGUGGUCUCGUGGCGGAAGGCUGAAGGAGGCGGUGAAGGAGUGAAGGUGUGAAGUGUGCAGCUUCCACUUCAUCAUCCCAUGAACAGCCCACAGGAAUCUCUACCAGCACCUGGUUAUUAAACAGUGUUGUCACGCCAGGCCCAAUGUACUCCAUUGCAAUCAGGGAGUCGAGCUUCACCAGGAAAAGAGGCAGAGCGUCACCACCUUCAAGCCCCACAAGAGGUAUUAAGUAUCGUUGGGACAAAGCAAUCAGGGAAGAGUCAAGUUGCAGUAAGAAGAAUGUGUCAAGAAUUUCAAGCAGAAAGAACACGUAAAAUUCCCUUCAAGUCAUGGCGGGACCGACAGGCAACCUUCAACACUUGUGGAGGCACGAGAGCUGCAGGCAGUUUCACAAAGAAGAGGUUGCUCCUCACUCAAGUUGACGCAAGGACACAAGAAUUGGCAAGUGUUGUUGCUCCCAGGCCCUGCUGCAAGAGUUCUCCAGUCCACUCCAGUCUGGGAAGGAAGAAUAUAGCAAGUCCUUCUCUUCUGUACUCAACAACCACCACCACCACCUUCAUUCAGGCUUGGGAUAAGUUUUGUACAUUCCAGCACUUCAGUAAUAAGGAAAAAAAGUGCCAUGUUUAUAUUAUUGUUGUGUAUUUAUUCACUUAACAUUCACAUUAAAACAAUAAACAUUCAGUAUACCAUCUUGAACAUAA